GUUUAAAUAGUUUAAAAAAAACAUUGGUCUUGUAAACCAAAGUUAGGUAAAUACUUUUAAACAAAUA
rnacentral:tRNA from 1 species